UCGUACCUUUUGCAUCAUGAUUUAGCCAGUACACCCAGGCAAAGAGACCUUUAGUCUGAAACCCCGAAACCAAGUGAGCUACCCCGGGACAGCCUAGUGGGCCAACCCGUCUCUGUGGCAAAAGAGUGGGAAGAUCCCCGGGUAGAGGUGAUAAACCUACCGAACUUGGUGAUAGCUGGUUGCCUAAAAAAUGAAUAGAAGUUCAGCCUCGUGCGCCCCUUAAGCGAAUAGCAACACUAGCCAACACAAAAAGCGAAACACGAGAGUUAGUUAAAGGGGGUACAGCCCCUUUAACAAAGAAUACAAUCUUACCAGGAGGAUAAAGAUCAUACUUCGCAAAACACGUCGUCUCAGUGGGCCUAAAAGCAGCCAUCUGAAUAGAAAGCGUUAAAGCUCAAACGACAAAAAGUUUAUUAUUCUGAUAAAAAAUCUCACUCCCCUAAAUCUAUUAGGCCACUCCAUGCUAACAUGGAAGAAACUAUGCUAAAAUGAGUAACAAGGGGACCAAUCCCUCCCAAGCACAAGUGUAAGCCAGAUCGGACCAACCACUGGCAAUCAACGAACCCAAAAAAAGAGGGAAGCGUAAAAAACAAAUAAACCAAGAAAACCUCACAGCACCAAAUCGUUACCCCCACACCGGAGUGCCACAGGGAAAGACUAAAAGAAAGGGAAGGAACUCGGCAAACAUAAGCCUCGCCUGUUUACCAAAAACAUCGCCUCCUGCAAACCUCUAAGUAUAGGAGGUCCAGCCUGCCCAGUGACCACAAGUUCAACGGCCGCGGUAUUUUGACCGUGCAAAGGUAGCGCAAUCACUUGUCUUUUAAAUGAAGACCUGUAUGAAUGGCCAAACGAGGGCUUAACUGUCUCCCCUUUCAAGUCAGUGAAAUUGAUCUACCCGUGCAGAAGCGGGUAUACAAAUACAAGACGAGAAGACCCUUUGGAGCUUAAGGUACAAACCCAAACGUUAAACAACAAUUAACAGCAAACCUAGUGAAACUGGAAUUUUACCUUCGGUUGGGGCGACCGCGGAGAACAAAAGAUCCUCCAUGUGGAUUGAGCCAAAGCUUAAAACCAAGAAAGACAUUUCAAAGUCACAGAAAAUCUGACCAACUAUGAUCCGGCCAAUAAGGCCGAUCAACGAACCAAGUUACCCUAGGGAUAACAGCGCAAUCCUCUCCCAGAGUCCAAUCGACGAGGGGGUUUACGACCUCGAUGUUGGAUCAGGA
rnacentral:rRNA from 1 species